UGAUGGAUCCAGCCACCACUUCAUUUCUCCUUGGACCUUGUCUGUGAUCUUGAUUGACUGAUGUGUACAUACUACUAUCAGGUCCUGGAAGGGCAAGACAGUCUUUUGCAGCUGCCAAGAGUGAAAACAAGACCAAUUCACCAGAUUUUUCCAUGACACUAUCAUGCCCAAUACAUGGGCCAGAGUCAUCAGGUCUACCUUGGAAACUGUUAGGACAUAUCCUGUGAGCUUUCUUUCUUAAAUGAAAGAGGAAUAAGAAAGCUGAGACUGAAGAGGGCCUUUGUUACCACAGAUGCUGGACAGCCGUUUGAGAGGGAUUACCAUUGUCCUGAAACCGGAAUCCUCAGAUACAGAGUCCUACAACAGUUGCCCUAAGGAGGAGACAGAUCCCUGCUAUUUCCAAUUUGAUCUGCUAGCGCCACAGCCUGCAUCUUGUCUUUUGAAUUCCAAGGAGACACCUCUACCACUGAACUCCUUUGCGAGGAAGACUGGGGUGCAAAAUAACAACAACAACUACUACUACUAUUAUUAUUAUAAAAUGACUGGAUCAUAGACUCCUUGAAGGAUCAGAAAAGCCCUAAUUAUGUCCCUCCAGAGCGUAGAAAAGAGGGGGAGGGGAAACCUGCCAGAAAAGACAUUGAUGCUUUAAAUGACCAGAUGCAGCACUCAGGGGUGGACCUUCCAUCUUGACUAUCCAGACUACAAAGCUCUGCCAGGUGCUCCAAGACACAGCUAAGAAAAUUUAAGUAUCUUCUGCCUCAGCUGCAGGACUGCUAACCUUGGUCCUGAAUUAGCAGUUUGGUCCUUGUCCAAGACCCUGACCUUUCCUUGCCCUAUCUUCCUAUCAGUCCCAAAACUCAGGGCCUACAGAUUUUCAUCUUGCUUAGGCAAUCAUCUUCCUUUUGAUCAGAACUAGAAUGGGGGUGAAUUGAAGAUGUCCUUGAGAAGAGUGUGUUUGUUCUUGCCUUAUUAACUGUAGAUUAAUUAACUUAUUUAAUAUAAGUUAAUUAACUUAUUAAGUGUAUGAUGUGGCUGAGAGGUCUUUAUGGCUCUUAAACUUUAGAAAAGCCCCCUGUGUACUCAAAGGGCCUGAAGCUCUCUCUACAAAGGCUCACAGUGUAACAACAUUUCAUGGAAUGCCCAUGGGACCACAUGUCAUGGCCAUUCCAGGAAGUGGUGUCAAGCUGGGAGUCUGCAGGAAGAGAUCAUUGGGCUGUGUGUGUGCAAAGGGUUUUCUUAAAGUUCUCUUGACAUUUUUUACAGUUCACAAGAUAGGUGCAGAUGCCAGGGACUGAACUGGAACAUCACCCUCUGCAGGAAAUUAGGUGCUCCACUACUGAGUUAAGGGUUCUCCCUCAAACCUGGUCCCAGGAUAGGGAAAGAGGCAGCAAAUGGAACAUCCUUUUCAGACUUUGCCAUAUGGAAGUUCCUUUACAAAUCUAAACUUACUGAGAGAACUCUGCUACUGCUUGUUGUUAUCUGGAUAAUCAAAUCACAAAGUCCAACUGGCUACCAAAGCAGAACUCUUUUGCUAACUCUAAAAUACUUUAAAUGCAAUUUGUUCAGUAAACUGCAGUACAUUAAAAUUUUAUAUUAAGUAAAUUAUAAGGAAGAGUGCACUUUGCAGAAUUAAAAAAAGUGCUCGGUUAACUUAUCUAUUAUUCCUCUGGGAAAGUUUCCAAAGUAUGUGGAUAGGAAAAAUUCUUAUAGCUCAGCAAAUGAUUUUCAGUACCAUUUCAGACUGCUUUAAGGUCUUCUCCUACUACUAAAAAUGUGAAGCUGUCUGACCACAGAUACAAUUUUUCUAGAUUAUACAAUCUUAUCAAAAACAUAUCAGUAGAAACAGCUAUUAAUCUGUUUGGUGACUAGCAUUAGAGAAUCACUGAUCACUGGAAACUAUUAAGUACUACCAUGUAAAAAAAGUUGUUCUUAAUGGAGAGUUGGGGAUAUGAAGUAAAUGGAAUAAUCCUGUAUAAUACAGACAGCAGUUCUCUGUGUAGCUCUGGCACCACUCACAAGAGGGAGGUAUCAGCAAGCUUGUGGAAACCCCGAUUUUGUAGAAGUACAAAAAACUUUAGGGGGGGAUCUAAGAAGAUAACCCAUCCUCAGAGAACACUGAACAUGCUCAGUGGGCACAUAAUGUUGACUUCAAGGGGGGGAGUGGCUAGAAUCUUUCACACUGCAACAUCUGGUUGCCAGACCCACUUGUAUAAACAAUGGGUUGUAGCCAACUAAACACUGUUGUAUGCAGAAUAACUUCCACAAGUGCCACAUAAUUUUCCUCCUCCUCCCACUCCAUACUGUCCUCGUAUCCACUCUGGAGGGUUGGAGUAAUCCCUAUAGCAGCUUUGGGGGACAUGCAGGAGGAGGAGAGGGAGAAGUUCCACUGUAGUUGCGGACUUAUCUUUUGUGCAGCCCUGACUGAGGGUCCCUGCAGCCCAGAGGGGCCCAUCCUUUGGGUGAGAAGGUGGUGCUGUUGCUUCACGAUCCAUAGCAGUAUUGGCUCCUGACAAUGCCACGGAUCACGAGUUCCCAGAUACACACACCCAUAUAGGCAGUGUGGGCUUCAUUAAGACCGCCUGGCCCACCUACCUGUUGCAUUAGUGCAUCAGUGUGUAUGCCCCAUGUG